ensembl:snoRNA
AUCUUUUAGUAGUUCAUAAGCAUGGUGAUUGGCUUUUCAUGUGCAUGUGUGAAAUGUGCCUUCCACAAACCUUGUUACAAAGUUGGCACACUACCAUUGAUGUGAAA